CACAAAUUGCAUAUUGGCAUUACCCUCCAGAUAUUUUCUUUGUUGAGUGAAACAGUGAAACCCUUAUCUUGCUUCUUCCGUCUCUUAUCAUCAGCACGGACGGACACAUGCAUUAUUGCAGCAGAACUUUGAAUUUCAACAUUACAUUCAAUCAGGUGCUACAUGAAAAGAAGGAAAUAUUUUGAUUAAUACAUAAGAGAGGUGCUUCCGAUUGAGGUUAUGUAUCAUUGGAAAUUAAUCUGUUCGAUUCUAUGUGGAGAUCGAAAGAAGUUGAAGAAACCAAGUUUGAUGUAGAAAAUCUGAAGUCUAAAUGAUAAGCUUGCAAUCUUACAAUACAACUGCAGCAGACUGUGUGGUAUGCAUAGACAAUUUAACCAGUAAACAACAGAUUGAUUUUACCUGAUUCACUCUCUCAAAUAUGGGCAUUUGGUCUAGUGGUAUGAUUCUCGCUUAGGGUGCGAGAGGUCCCGAGUUCAAUUCUCGGAAUGCCCCAUUUUUUGAAUGUUUCUUGCUUCUGCUGUCUCUUAUCAACAUGGACACUGUAUUGCAUCAGAACUUGAAUUUGAAUAUUACUUUACAUCAGGUUGUGUCUCACAGCUGACUUCAUCUUUUCAUACUUAUUAAAAUCAUUUGGCUUUUAAUUGAAUAUGUCAUGUUCGAUGGAUCAAUCAUUUUCUUUUUAAUUUAGUAAUGGAAAUGUAAAGGGGACAUGUGGUAAAAAUAAGAGGUCUGAAUUCAAUUUUU